rnacentral:misc_RNA from 1 species
AACGCACCUUGCGCUCCCUGGUAUUCCGGGGAGCAUGUCUGUUUGAGUGUCAUGAACUCUUCAACCCCCCAGUUUCUUGUAGACUGUGUGGGUGUUUGGAUUUUGAGCGCUGCUGGUCUUCGGAUCUUAGCUCGUUCGUAAUACAUUAGCAUCUCUAAUUCGAAAUCGGAUUGACUCAGUGUAAUAGACUAUUCGCUGAGGACACGCUUUUAUUAGUGUGGCCGAAUGAGAUCUCAGUAGAAGCUUCUAAUUCUAUAAGUCAACUUUAGAUUAGACCUCAGAUCAGGCAGGAUUACCCGCUGAACUUAA